GACGAACGCUGGCGGCGUGCCUAACACAUGCAAGUCGAACGGAAAAGCUUUGCUCUUGUGCGGUGCUCGAGUGGCGAAAGGGUGAGUAACACGUGUGUAACCUGCCCUUGACUUUGGGGUAACAUCAGGAGACUGGGGAUAUUAUAGGACAGGAGCUCCUGCUGCAUGGGGGGGGUUGGAAAAAUUCGGCGGUUGGGGAUGAACACGCGGCCUAUCAGCUUGUUGGUGGGGUAGUGGCUUACCAAGGCUUUGACGGGUAGCCGGCCUGAGAGGGUGACCGGCCACAUUGGGACUGAGAUACGGCCCAGACUCCUACGGGAGGCAGCGGUGGGAAAUAUUGCACAAUGGGCGGAAGCCGGAUGCAACAACGCCGCGUGCGGGAUGACGGCCUUCGGGUUGUAAACCGCUUUCGCCUGUGACGAAGCGUGAGUGACGGUAAUGGGUAAAGAAGCACCGGCUAACUACGUG
rnacentral:rRNA from 1 species